rnacentral:pre_miRNA from 1 species
UCAGUGCCCUCCGUCCGAAAAUACUUGUCCUCGAAAUGGUUGUAUCUAGACUUAUUUUAGUUAUAGAUAUAUUCAUUUUAUUCAUUUCUAGGACAAGUAUUUUUGGACGGAGGGAGUAGUAA